CAUACCCCAUUACCCCACGGGACAACACACAAUAUACACCCAUACAAUAUACAUACAGGAGACAAUACCCAUCUCACAAAAGUUACAUAUACACACACAAUCACACAAUAGGGACCUCACCACCAUUCUCUUCUACACAAUAACACACACACAGAAUUCAUCUUUCCAUGGAAACACACAGCUCACCACGAAACAACACCUAUAAUCGGAUGUAGACACAGACACAGUGGGUAGAAACAGAAAAAAAAGAGUGAAGGAGCAGGAGAGUGAUCAAAAACAGAGAGGAAUUAGAGAGAAAAGAGAGAAAUAGCCAGUGGGGAUCACUGUUUUGGCGAUGAAUCCGUCUUCGACGCCAAUCAGACCCACUCCUAAACUAGCUCCAUUGAUUCACCGGAGAAAGAUGACCAAACCGUCACCUAAAACCACUGGAAAACGCUUAUCACCAGAGCUCCCACGACCCAACAACUGAAAAACCAAUUGAACUCGACUUGUUUUGGUUUGAUUCUGAUGGAAUCUACCGGUAAACGAGUGAAACGGGGAUCGUUUGGCACAAAUUUGGUACGGUUUAUUGUUGGUUCGCAUUUUUUAUUCAAGUUGGCAGAAAAUAGAAUCGAGGGAGUAUAUCGAGGUCCAUGUGGAGUUCUUUAUUGAGGUUCAAAUCGAGGGAUUUUGGAUACGGUUCUAUGUUCGAUAUAUCAAAAUCGAUAAUUGAGGUUUAGAAGCACAAGCUCCAAAGCCUCUCUAGCAGCCCAGACUCAGCCAGCAGCAGUAGACGUAUUAGUGAGUCCUCAUCUUUCGAGGAUGAUUAUUAUUUCGGUACAUUAUUGUAUUAAAUUUAUUUUAUUAGACGGAGUUAGUUGGGAACAUAUCCCAUCAACUCCACAGUUCAGACAGUUAGAGGCUUUUUGGACAGAUGUAUAAGUUUUUAGUUUUCAGACUUUGAUUAUUUCACAUGUUUUGAACCUUGUGGCACUUUUCUGCCAGUUUUCUGCAUGUAUUUUAUUAUAA